GACGAACGUUGGCGGUGUGCCUAAUACAUGCAAGUCGAACGGAGUUAGUAGCAAUACUGGCUCAGUGGCGAACGGGUGAGUAACGCGUUGGUGAUCUGCCUUGAAGUGUGGAAUAACGCUUCGAAAGGAACGCUAAUACCGCAUGUGCUCUCGAUUUUCAGAAAGUUGAGAGUAAAGGAUUUAUUCGCUUCAAGAGGAGCCUGCGUCCCAUCAGCUGGUUGGUAGGGUAACGGCCUACCAAGGCUAUGACGGGUAGGGGACCUGAGAGGGGGGCCCCCCACAAUGGAACUGAAACACGGUCCAUACACCUACGGGUGGCAGCAGUAGGGAAUAUUAGAAAUGGACGAAAGUCUGGUCUAGCAACACCGCGUGUGCGAAGAAGGCCUUCGGGUCGUAAAGCACUUUUUGGAAGGAAUAGGAAGGAAUGUACUUCCAGAAUAAGUCUCGGCUAACUACGUGCCAGCAGCCGCCGUAAAAC
rnacentral:rRNA from 1 species